UUAAGCAUAUCAAUAAGCGGAGGAAAAGAAACCAACCGGGAUUGCCUUAGUAACGGCGAGUGAAGCGGCAAAAGCUCAAAUUUGAAAUCUGGUACCUUCGGUGCCCGAGUUGUAAUUUGGAGAGGGCAACUUUGGGGCCGUUCCUUGUCUAUGUUCCUUGGAACAGGACGUCAUAGAGGGUGAGAAUCCCGUGUGGCGAGGAGUGCGGUUCUUUGUAAAGUGCCUUCGAAGAGUCGAGUUGUUUGGGAAUGCAGCUCUAAGUGGGUGGUAAAUUCCAUCUAAAGCUAAAUAUUGGCGAGAGACCGAUAGCGAACAAGUACAGUGAUGGAAAGAUGAAAAGAACUUUGAAAAGAGAGUGAAAAAGUACGUGAAAUUGUUGAAAGGGAAGGGCAUUUGAUCAGACAUGGUGUUUUGUGCCCUCUGCUCCUUGUGGGUAGGGGAAUCUCGCAUUUCACUGGGCCAGCAUCAGUUUUGGUGGCAGGAUAAAUCCAUAGGAAUGUAGCUUGCCUCGGUAAGUAUUAUAGCCUGUGGGAAUACUGCCAGCUGGGACUGAGGACUGCGACGUAAGUCAAGGAUGCUGGCAUAAUGGUUAUAUGCCGCCC
rnacentral:rRNA from 1 species